UGUGUGCAGCCAGACAUCAUGGCAGACUGCCAAAACUGAUUCCUAAGAAAAGGGGAGACCGUUGUGUGUCGUCAUAGUUUUACACCUGUUGAUCCACUUUCUGUGAGCCACACCUAGAACCUUCAAAUCCCUGCAGAUUUGUCAGCUGAUCAUGGCCUGUCCUGUGACUGGCUGAGCUUCAUGCUUGGAAAAGUUCUUUCACACUGUUCAUCCUGGAGCUGCUUUAUGUCCAUGAUCUGAAUGGAAACACAUCUGCAUCAUUGUAGCUACAGUGGAUGUUUCAGUGUCAGGACUGAAGGUGGAGCUUUGUGCGUGUUGGGCUGAGGCUGAAGCAGUCGCCCCCAACGGUAGCGCUCAGGUGUGAAACUACGAGGAAACUGAACAUACUCCUCUUUCCUCAGAAGUGAUCUAUGCGCGUCUGGACUUGUUUCCACUGAUCUGGUUUAACAAGGUGUGAAGCUGACCUCUGAGAUGUGACAGUGUGAGCAGUGUGAGAGUGUCAGCAGAUGAUCAGCAGAGGAAAGUGAGAGCUGCUGUGAGCUGAUGUCCUGAAGGGCUUUUAAAGAGCCUCUGAGUUUGACAGGAACAUGAAGAUGUUUGUGGUGUUUGUGAUCCUCCUGCACGGUAAGUACACUGCUCUGGCUGUGGUGGUGGAGGUGAAUGAGGGGGAAAGGUCUGUCCUGCUGUCCUGUCUAUACCCAGAUUAUAUACUUGAGGACAAUUCAACAGUGAUGUGGACUCGCAGUGACCUCAAUCCCAAAUCUGUCCACAUACGACGAGAAAUAGGAGACAAUCUUAGAGGACAAAACCAGCGUUACAGCAGACGCACAUCAAUGAAUCGUUACGCUUUCAUCAUUAAAGACUUCAGCCUCACUCUGAGGAAACCCACAACGACUGACAGCGGCGACUACACCUGCUCCAUCAGUGCUGGAGGAAAAGAACGGAGACUCAGAGACAUCCAGCUGCAGGUCAAAGAACAGCAAGUGGAGGUGAAGGUGGAGAAAGGGGUACAGUCUGUCAUCCUGCCCUGCAAAACAACACCUGACCUGCCUGAGGGCACCACAGUGGAGUGGACUCGCUCUGACCUCGGACUCAUCACAGUCCAUGAGUAUUCUAACAGAAAUGAUGAGCUCAUGACUCAGGAUGAAGUUUACAGAGACCGAACGAAGAUGAAUGAAGACCUGCUGAGAACUGGAGACCUCAGUCUGACCCUGAAACAGCCCACAGUGAGAGACACAGGAGGAUACAUCUGCACCAUCUACAGGGACAAAGACAUCCUGAGACAGAAAGUUGUACUGCAGGUCAAAAAACCAUUUCCAUCCUGGUUCAAAGAUCUUCUGGUUCUCCUGUUUGUCUUUGUGAUUUUUGGAGGUCUUUUAUAUUAUUUACGUCACUAUUACAUGUCAGAUUACCAGGUGGAGGUGGAUUCAGGGGUGGAGUCUGUAAAGCUGCCCUGCAAAACUAUAUUUAAAUUCCUAAAACACACUAAAGUGGAGUGGAGGGACAGAAACAACAGGAAGGUCCACGUGUAUCACAAUGGCUCUGACCAGGUUAGAGAACAGCACCGGUUUUACAGAAACCGAACAGAGAUGAAGAGGAAUUUACUGAAACCUGGAGACCUCAGUCUGACCCUGACGUAUCCCACUGAUGAUGACAACUCCACCUACACCUGCACCGUCUACAGCAGGAAGGGAAACAUACUGGCAACGAAAAAUGUGCAGCUCCAUGUCAGAGUGCUCCUGUCUGUGAUGUGA
ensembl:lncRNA